CCUACGGGUGGCAGCAGUGGGGAAUAUUGCACAAUGGGGGAAACCCUGAUGCAGCGACGCCGCGUGAGCGAUGAAGUAUUUCGGUAUGUAAAGCUCUAUCAGCAGGGAAGAACAUGACGGUACCUGACUAAGAAGCCCCGGCUAACUACGUGCCAGCAGCCGCGGUAAUACGGAGGGGGCAAGCGUUAGUCGGAUUUACUGGGGGUAAAGGGAGCGUAGACGGUCCUGCAAGUCAGCUGUGAAAUCCCGGGGCUAAACCCAGGGACUGCAUUUGAAACUGUAAGGCUAGAGUGUAGGAGAGGCAGGCGGAAUUCGUAGUGGAGCGGUGAAAUGCGUAGAGAUGAGGAGGAACACCAGUGGCGAAGGCGGCCUGCUGGACGAUGACUGACGUUGAGGCUCGAAAGCGUGGGUAGCAAACAGGAUUAGAUACCCCAGUAGUC
rnacentral:rRNA from 1 species